GACGAACGCUGGCGGCGUGCCUAACACAUGCAAGUCGAGCGGGGAACGAAUGGUAGCUUGCUACUGUUUGUUUCUAGCGGCGGACGGGUGAGUAACGCGUGAGCAACCUGCCUUUAUCAGGGGGAUAACGCAUCGAAAGAUGUGCUAAUACCGCGUAAGACCACAGCUUCACAUGGAGCAGGGGUCAAAGGAGCAAUCCGGAUAAAGAUGGGCUCGCGUCCGAUUAGCUAGUUGGUGAGAUAACAGCCCACCAAGGCGACGAUCGGUAGCCGACCUGAGAGGGUGAUCGGCCACAUUGGAACUGAGAGACGGUCCAGACUCCUACGGGAGGCAGCAGUGGGGAAUAUUGGGCAAUGGGCGAAAGCCUGACCCAGCAACGCCGCGUGAGGGAAGAAGGGUUUCGGCUCGUAAACCUCUGUCC
rnacentral:rRNA from 1 species